rnacentral:rRNA from 1 species
AUUGAACGCUGGCGGCAGGCCUAACACAUGCAAGUCGAGCGAGCGGCGGACGGGUGAGUAAUGUAUGGGGACUGCCCGAUAGAGGGGGAUAACUACUGGAAACGGUGGCUAAUACCGCAUACUAUCGGAUAACCCAUAUGGGAUUAGCUAGUAGGUGGGGUAAAGGCUCACCAAGGCGACGAUCUCUAGCUGGUCUGAGAUGAUGAUCAGCCACACUGGGACUUGGACAAGGCCCAGACUCCUGCGGAGUCAGCAGUGUGGAAUAUUGCAGAAUUGGCUCAAGCCUGAUACAGUCAUGCCGCGUGUAUGAAGAAGGCCUUAGGGUUGUAAAGUACUUUUAGCGGGGAGGCGUUACUCGCAGAAGAAGCACCGGCUAACUCCGUGCCAGCAGGCGCGGUAAUAC